rnacentral:lncRNA from 1 species
GUAAACCUUGGGUGGACUGGGGAGAACUGAGGAGGGGAAGCGCUUUUUUGUUGCUUCUCUGUGUUUUCUAUUUUAUUUUAUUUAUUUUAUUUUUAGAUUUUCAGUUCUUAUUUCACCCAGGGAAGGAGACCUGGGUAUCCACCCCAUGUCCUCCAGAGAACUUCCCUGGCCCCGCUCGGAGUCUUCCUGGGACGCCACAGGCUCGGAGAGCGCUCCGCAGGUUUCUCCCCCGGCGCCUCCAAAUCUUUCGAUUCCUACUCGAAUUACUCCGUCAGCUGCUGGAAGAGGGGCAAGGGGUAUGGCGAGACGCGUUGGUACAUGGGGCACUGGGGGGAAGGGAAAGCCUCCCUCCUUCUCCUAGUAAUUCGAGAAUGUUGCGUCCGCCUCCUUUCUUUUGCUGGCGCUAGGGGCUCGGACCAGCACCUGCCAGGCAUAGGUGUGGCCACUGGGGCGAAACCUGGCAGGCUCUGGAAACAGCGUUUUACUGACAGGAAAGAGAAACUGUUCUUUGUAUUCAUCACCCACCGCAGACUUCCUCACGCCCGGGUCUUAGGCGGGGCUGUCAGAUUUCAGUGUGUUUCUCUUAAUUCUAGUACUAAAUUUGUACUGGGCGCUGGCGAAGGGCCUGGCUCCGCCACGCGCGGCCCUCUCGAACUGCCCGUGGGUACGGCGCGCGCUGCUGCCCUGUGUGGCCUGUGCGGGGAACCCGAGGGCCGAAGUGGGCCCCGCCGCAGCACAGGGGGACAAGAGAACCAGGAGCGGGCUGCCUGGGGGCAGAUUCGAACCCGUGCUCCCAGCGGAUAGAAGUAGCACUUGGGGACUCCUAAAAUAUUCAGCCCAAUCCUGAUUCCAGCUGCCCUCUCUAGGCACCUUUCCUCUACCCUUCUUCCAGUUUACAAUUCUGGUGAGUAGAUGUUUCUCUAUCUCUUCUCUUCCAACUCCUGCGCCCAGAGCCAGGAGGACUUCUGGAGCCCGCCCAGCAAGACCCUCUCUCUCCCAUCUUCUGCUCAAGGGCUCGAGGUCUCAGUGGACAGAGCUGAAGAAAAGCCGUCUAUGGAGCCUGCGCCAGGCGCAGACUGGGUCGUCGCAGUCUGGGUCGUCGCAGUCUGGGCCGGGGCGCUGGAAGUCUUACUCACUUCUCAAGAACCCGCAAGGGAUCAGGCCUGACCCUUUGCAAGUGACAGAAUCCAAAGCUUUGAGCUCAUGGGAAAGUGGCUGGAAAGAAGGUCACUGUAGGGCCGCACAGGUCUCUGGCGAGGCUACCCAAGAACAUUUAAAUCCCUGCCCAGAGAAGAAGAGGCUCCAGCUGUCCUGCACCUUCCUGGGAACUGGCAGUCCCUCCGCGCAGGGGUUCUGCAGCGACCGGCAGCGCGAGGAGACAAGGAUGGUGGCCAGUUAACAGAAAAUCAAGGCAGCGGGAAAGGUCUGGAAAACACCACCUACUAUCACCUCUGGAGCCUGGGAUUAUGGGAUAAGUUUUCGAUUUUUAAAUGUAUUGUCAAAUAGCUAAAGUACACGGAAAGUGCGAAAUAAUAGUAAAUUGAACACCUGUGUAUUCACCACACAGCUUAAGCAAUAACAUUAGCAAUAUUUGGGUACCCAGCUGGUCUCAUUCCCUCAUUCCACUUGUCCCCUACUCACCUGAUAGCCAGUACAAUUUUAUGAAUUUAAAGUUACUAAUUCCCAUGCAACUGUUUAUACUUUUAGUAAAUGUGUUUAUGUCCCUCAUCAACACAUGACACUGAUUCAACACAUGUAUAUGCGUUUAAGCUGCAUGUAAAUGGCAUCAUGUUGGCCAGGUGCAGUUACUCACGACUGUAAUUCCAGCACUUUGGAAGGCUGAGAGGGAAGACGGCUUGAGGCCCAGAGUUUGAGACCAGCCUGGGCAACAUAGCAAGACCCUAUCUCUAAAAAAAAAAAAUUGUUUGUUUGUUUGUUUGUUUGUUUGAGACGGAGUCUUGCUGUGUCACUCAGGCUGGAGUGCAGUGGCGCAAUCUCGGCUUGCUGCAAUGUCGGCCUCCGGGGUUCAAGCAAUUCUCCUGCCUUGGCCUCCCAAGUAGCUGGGACUACAGGCACAUCCCACCACGCCCAGCUGAUUUUUGUAUUUUUAGUAGAGACAAGGUUUCACCAUAUUGGCCAUGCUGGUCUACGAACUCUUGACCUCAUGAUCUGCCUGCCUCGGCUUUCCAAAGUGCUGGAAUUACAGGUGUGAGCCCCCGCGCCCAGCCAAAAAAAUUGUUUUAAAUUAGCUGGGUGUGGUGGUGCCUGCCUAUGAAGUCCCAGCUACUCAGGAGGCUGAAGUGGGAAGAUGGCUUGAGCCCAGGAGUUGAAGGAUGCUAUGAGCUCUGAUUGUGCCACUGCACCCCUGCAUGGGCAAUAGAGUGAGACCCUGUCUCUUUAAAAAAAAAAAAAAAAGUAUCAUAUUGUAUGUGUUCUGUAGAACUUGCUCCCACACUUUAACAUUUUGCUUUAAAGAUUUGUUCAUGUACUUAGAUCAUUCCUUUUCACUGCUUUAUGAGCUGAAUCAUUUCUGCUCUUCUUUCCAUCCAUACCCAUUGGUCUCCAAAGUAUCCAGGCCUCCCCAAAAGUUCCUGCAGGAGACCUCAGUUCCACUGGCUUUCAGGUCAUUAUUGUUCCAGCACUACUUCUCCAUUUCUGGUUCCAGCCCUUCUCUCCCACAUUCUCAAGCUUCUAGAGGGUCAUAAGAGAGGAAAAACGCCAAAUGCCUUUGAUAAAAUGUUGCCUUUCCAGUGGUAUGCAUGUUUGUGUGGAGUGGGAGGGAAGUGAGGGCAGAUGUGACUUACUCUCAGCAUUAAUUCAAGUUUAAAAGUAAAAUCUUUAGGUUUGCCUUGUCCAGUAAAAAAUGCCAAGAGC